rnacentral:rRNA from 1 species
GGCCUACCAUGGUUUUAACGGGUAACGGGGAAUUAGGGUUCGAUUCCGGAGAGGGAGCCUGAGAAACGGCUACCACAUCCAAGGAAGGCAGCAGGCGCGCAAAUUACCCAAUCCCGACACGGGGAGGUAGUGACAAUAAAUAACAAUACAGGGCUUUCUAGUCUUGUAAUUGGAAUGAGUACAACUUAAAUCCCUUAACGAGGAACAAUUGGAGGGCAAGUCUGGUGCCAGCAGCCGCGGUAAUUCCAGCUCCAAUAGCGUAUAUUAAAGUUGUUGCAGUUAAAAAGCUCGUAGUUGAACUUUAGGCCCGGUUGGAUGGUCUGCUCUAGGGUUUGUACUGUCCUGACUGGGUCUUACCUUCUGGUGAGCUGUCGUGUUGUUUACUCAGUGCGGCAGGGAACCAGGACUUUUACUUUGAACAAAUUGGAGUGUUUCACGCGGGCAUUUGCUUGAAUACAUUAGCAUGGAAUAAUGAAAUAGGACGUUCGAUCUUAUUUUGUUGGUUUCUAGGAUUGACGUAAUGAUUAAUAGGGAUAGUUGGGGGCAUUAGUAUUCAAUUGUCAGAGGUGAAAUUCUUGGAUUUAUUGAAGACUAACUACUGCGAAAGCAUUUGCCAAGGAUGUUUUCAUUAAUCAAGAACGAAAGUUAGGGGAUCGAAGACGAUCAGAUACCGUCGUAGUCUUAACCAUAAACUAUGCCGACUAGGGAUCGGAUG